rnacentral:misc_RNA from 1 species
AAAGUCGUAACAAGGUUUCCGUAGGUGAACCUGCGGAAGGAUCAUUACUGAGUAUCUUGGGUCUCUCAUGGCCCAUACUCCCACCCUUUUGUGUACCUUACCAAAAUUUUAAAAAGUUGCCUUGGUAGGAACCUACUACCUUUUCUAACGAAGGGGUGUAGGCCUACCAUUGGAACUCUUUUUCAAAACUCUUUUGAAUCGAGUCGUCUGAGAACAAAAUUCAAAUGAAUUAAAACUUUCAACAACGGAUCUCUUGGUUCUG